rnacentral:rRNA from 1 species
ACGAACGCUGGCGGCGUGCCUAAUCCAUGCAAGUAGAACGCUGAAGGAGGAGCUUGCUUCUCUGGAUGAGUUGCGAACGGGUGAGUAACGCGUAGGUAACCUGCCUGGUAGCGGGGGAUAACUAUUGGAAACGAUAGCUAAUACCGCAUAAGAGUAGAUGUUGCAUGACAUUUGCUUAAAAGGUGCAAUUGCAUCACUACCAGAUGGACCUGCGUUGUAUUAGCUAGUUGGUGGGGUAACGGCUUACCAAGGCGACGAUACAUAGCCGACCUGAGAGGGUGAUCGGCCACACUGGGACUGAGACACGGCCCAGACUCCUACGGGAGGCAGCAGUAGGGAAUCUUCGGCAAUGGACGGAAGUCUGACCGAGCAACGCCGCGUGAGGGAAGAAGGUUUUCGGAUCGUAAAGCUCUGUUGUAAGAGAAGAACGAGUGUGAGAGUGGAAAGUUCACACUGUGACGGUAUCUUACCAGAAAGGGACGGCUAACUACGUG